rnacentral:rRNA from 1 species
UACAGAGGGUGCAAGCGUUGCUCGGAAUUAUUGGGCGUAAAGGGUAGGUAGGUGGUCUCGUUUGUCUGGGGUGAAAGCCUUGAGCUUAACUCAAGAAGUGCCCCAGAAACGGCGAGACUAGAGUAUUGGAGAGGGUCGUGGAAUUCCCGGUGUAGCGGUGAAAUGCGUAGAGAUCGGGAGGAACACCAGCGGCGAAGGCGGCGACCUGGACAAUUACUGACACUCAACUACGAAAGCGUGGGGAGCAAACAGG